rnacentral:tRNA from 1 species
GUCAGAGGUUCGAAUCCUCUCGGGUGCGCCA